AAUCAACGCUGGCGGCGUGCCUCAGACAUGCAAGUCGAACGCGAAAGUCUCCUUCGGGGGACAAGUAGAGUGGCGCACGGGUGAGUAACACGUAGGUAAUCUACCUUCGGAUGGGGAAGUAACAACCGGAAACGGUUGCUAAUACCGCAUAAUGCAGCGGCACCUAAUGGUGACAGUUGUUAAAGCGGGGGAGUCGUAAGACCUCGCGUCUGAAGAGGAGCCU
rnacentral:rRNA from 1 species